GAAACAGGAGGACGAUAAAGAUAAAGAUAAGCAGCAUCACGAGGCGAAGGGAGAAGUGAUUGAAAUCGAUUUCACUCCGCCAUG
rnacentral:sRNA from 1 species